UACGUAGGGUGCUAGCGUUGUUCGGAAUCAUUGGGCGUAAAGCGCGUGUAGGUGGCUUGUUAAGUCGAUUGUGAAAUCCCUGGGCUCAACCGAGGAAGUGCAUUCGAAACUAGCUAGCUAGAGGACGGCAGAGGAAGGUGGAAUGCCAAGUGUAGAGGUGAAAUUCGUAGAUAUUUGGCGGAAUACCGGUGGCGAAGGCGGCCUUCUGGACCGUUCCUGACACUGAGACGCGAAAGCGUGGGGAGCAAACAGG
rnacentral:rRNA from 1 species